rnacentral:rRNA from 1 species
UACGGAGGGUGCAAACGUUGCUCGGAAUCAUUGGGCGUAAAGCGCACGUAGGCGGUCCGGUAUGUCGGGAGUGAAAUCCCUCGGCUCAACCGAGGAAGUGCUUUCGAAACUACCGGACUCGAGUAUGGAAGAGGGUCGCGGAAUUCCCGGUGUAGAGGUGAAAUUCGUAGAUAUCGGGAGGAACACCAGCGGCGAAGGCGGCGACCUGGGCCAAUACUGACGCUGAGGUGCGAAAGCGUGGGGAG